CUGCCCGCCGGCGUGGGGGCCCGUUAGGACGCAGGAGCGUCUCGGCUACGCGGGCGCAGCGGGGUGCUCCGGGGCGUGCGCAGGGACGGGCCGCCGGGUCUGAGCACGACGAAAGCAGUGGCUCCGCGGAGGGACGAGGCCUCGCGCUCUGCCCGGCGGUCUCGCGUGGGGCCGUGAACGACUUCCCUCCCCGCCGGGCGCAGAGUGGCCCCGGGAAAGGCCGGGAGUUCGGAGAGGGACGCAGACGCUCUGAGCCUAAGAGCCAGGCCUCUCUGAGGGUGUCAGUGGGGAAACGGGCCCAGAGCGGGCGGACUCGUCAGAUCGCCCAGUGGACGCCGGAGCUGAGGGAGGGCCCAGAGCCCUGCAGGACCCAGUGGGGAACUUGGACACUGCUGUGAGACAGCCCUGCACUGACAUUGAAACAACCCCCUUGAUGUUAGCAGAGGCCCUUCCUGCUCCUGCCCCACAGUCACACGCAGGGCCCAAGGCAGAGCCCCUCACGAGAACUCAGCACCGAGGCCCUCCAGGUCUCAACUUGUCCUUCACAAGAUGGGCAGAGGCACCGGUGCCCAUGCAGUCUCAGGGGCGGUUGAGGAGUGAGGAGGACGUGGCUCAGGUCAGCCAGUUGGACCCAAGCCCUGCAGGGCAUGGGCCAUGCCCCCUUCUGUAGGGCAGGUCCCCCGCAGGGUGUGGCGUCUCCCAGGAGCUCUCCGUGGGCACAAGCUGCCGCGAGAGGCUCCUGCCCUACCCUGCCCUUCCCCAGAGCCAGGACCUGUCCCCAAUGGGCACCAAUGAAAGCUAGGAGGGAGGGGGCAGACAUCUCCAGCCUCCUUCCCUGGGGAGCCCAGUCCCCCCACCCUACUCUGGGAGGACCUCUCUAUGCCACUCCGGGACCCCCAGGGUGCAUCCCAUUCCUGCCCCAUCCUCUGAGCCCCACCCAGCCUUGCAUUCUCCCUGGGUUGUUCACCCUCUGUCUCCUUUCCCUCACGACGGCCCUCCCCAGCCCACCCCAGGCAGGGGCUCCCAGGGAAGGGACAGGGCCUGCAUGCAGAAGGGCUUCCCCGGUUUUGGGUGGAAGGCCACGGCAGGCUUGUCUUCCGCUGCCUGGAUUGCCUGAGUUUUCUUGCCCCAGCUGCCACAGCCUCAGCUUCCCUGGCUCUGAACGGGGCUGGCAGUGCUGCCUCUUGGGACAUGUGGAGGACGGUAGGAAUAAAGGAUUCCUGGUUUGGCUUGGGAAAGGCUACUGGGCUGACACCCCACCGCCAGGAUCUGUGAGAGUAUCUAAGGCCGGCCCCAAAGAGACCUCCAGAAGACAGCUUCCUGCACCCACUGGGCUCCAACUUCCUUUCUCUGGACUCAGGAUCCACAGACUCCUCGUGGCCACCACACACACACAACUUUGCGGGGUGUCUGAGUUUCGGCACAGCCUCAGGGAGCACCCCUCACACACCCAGGGAGGGAAGGUUGGUGAGGCCCCGCAGCUGCAGAGCCUCUUUCCCACACUUCCAGGCUGACCAGGCCCUGAUCCCCCCAACUUGGCCACUGACACCCUGCACCUCCCACCUUGGGCCUCCUGUCACUGGGUGGACUGCCCCAGCAUUGUGGGCAGGAGGCUGCCCUGCCUCCACUGCAUCAGAAUCCACCUGCAGCGCAGUCCCCAUCUCCACAGCCCUGAGGGUUGGCGGGUUCUAGGUCUGUGGAGUGGCCUGGGUCAGGGCUGGAGAGCCGUGACCAGCUCAGCAUGCGCCCAGUCCCCGAAGCCUUGGCUCCCCUGCACCGAGAGGCCUGGUUGUGUGCCGGCACCAGGGGGAGUCCUAUGGUGCCUCUCCUUGAAGCCACCCUGGAUUCUAGUCCUGUCAACUUCCCUGAGCCUGUUUCCUGGGCUAUAAAAUCAGGGUGACAGUACUUGCCUCUUGGGUGGUUGGGGUGUGUCAUGGAGGAUGCACACAAAGCCCUGCGCAGCAGCGGGCUGGGCACUAAGGGGUGCCCAGGAAGUGCCAGGAAUAUGAACAUCAGCUCCACAUCAGCAACAGCCUCCAACCCCUCGGCCCUGCCCACAGAGAGACAGGGCUUAGGAGAGACAGGGCCUGCCCAGUCUCAGCCGGUCAGUAGCAGAGUCUCGCUCAGAACCUGGGUGGAGCUUUGGCUGCCCGGCUGGCCAGCCACGGGCACCAGGCCAGGCCUCUUGGGGGCCUUCCAAAAAGUUUGACACUCAGGAAAACACUGUCUCCAGAAUACAAAAAGAAGACGACACAAUCAAAAUGCAUGGAGAUGUAAUUAAAUGUUUACAUAACCUAACAUAAUGUCAGCGUUAUUUUUAAAUUUAAAAUAAGAUACUUCUAUUUGUGAACAAUUGGUGGGGUAGAUUUUUUUUCUCACUUUAAAAGGUUUUCCCAGCAUGCAGAUGACCCCCAGACAACUCAGACAACUAUAAAUUAAGUGAAUUUCCUAUGGCCCAAAAUGUCCAAAAGCAAAAGAGUAAAUUUUCCUUUCGAACACUUUUACAAGAGAAAAACAAGUUUAUGAAAGAGGCUGUGGCUGCAGAUUCAAGGCACUUGCUGUGGUGUCUGGGGGUGGCCUCUAAAAGUGGGAGGGCCAGGACCUCUGAAGCUGGACAGGCCCUGCCUGGCCCUGCUGCUGUUCCGGGACCCCCUUUCUUCCCUGAGGCCUGGGGUAGAAGAGCAGGUCCUCCUCUCAUGAAUGGUAGGGGUGCUGCUAUCUGGGAAGGCUUCCUGGAGGAGGUGGGUCUGUGGGGCCUGGGAGCACCUCCAGGACUCUGGGGCAUAGGGGUAGUGUGGGUGGGCACUUUGAGGCCUGCCUGCCUCCCCUGAGCUCCCACUGCAGAGUCC